GACGAACGCUGGCGGCGUGCUUAACACAUGCAAGUCGAACGGCGUGGCGAACGGGUGAGUAACGCGUAAACAACCUGCCCUUCAGAGGGGGACAACAGUUGGAAAAGACUGCUAAUAACGCAUACUGAAGGAGGGGAUUGCGGCUGAUCCGCUAGUUGGAGGGGUAAAGGCCCACCAAGGCGAUGAUCAGUAGCCGGUGUGAGAGGAUGAGCGGGCCAAAUGGUAAUGAGGCACGGACCAGAAGUCUAAGGGAGGUAGCAGUGGGGAAUUGUCCGCCAAGGACGAAAGUCUGGAGGAGGAACGCCGCGUUAGUGAUGACGGUCUUCGGGUUGUAAAGCCCUGUUAAUCGGGACGCGGUACCGGAAUAGAAAGCAACGGCUAACUACGUGCCAGCAGCCGCGGUAAUUC
rnacentral:rRNA from 1 species